rnacentral:rRNA from 1 species
UACAGAGGGGGCAAGCGUUGUUCGGAAUUACUGGGCGUAAAGGGCGCGUAGGCGGUCUUCUAAGUCUUGUGUGAAAUCCCUCGGCUCAACUGAGGAACUGCACGGGAUACUGGAAGACUUGAGUUCGGGAGAGGGAAGCGGAAUUCCGGGUGUAGCGGUGAAAUGCGUAGAUAUCCGGAGGAACACCGGUGGCGAAGGCGGCUUCCUGGACCGAUCACUGACGCUGAGGCGCGAAAGCUAGGGGAGCAAACGGG